rnacentral:rRNA from 1 species
GAUGAACGCUGGCGGCGUGCCUAAUACAUGCAAGUCGAGCGAACGGACGAGAAGCUUGCUUCUCUGAUGUUAGCGGCGGACGGGUGAGUAACACGUGGAUAACCUACCUAUAAGACUGGGAUAACUUCGAGAAACCGGAGCUAAUACCGGAUAAUAUUUUGAACCGCAUGGUUCAAAAGUGAAAGACGGUCUUGCUGUCACUUAUAGAUGGAUCCGCGCUGCAUUAGCUAGUUGGUAAGGUAACGGCUUACCAAGGCAACGAUGCAUAGCCGACCUGAGAGGGUGAUCGGCCACACUGGAACUGAGACACGGUCCAGGCUCCUACGGGAGGCAGCAGUAGGGAAUCUUCCGCAAUGGGCGAAAGCCUGACGGAGCAACGCCGCGUGAGUGAUGAAGGUCUUCGGAUCGUAAAACUCUGUUAUUAGGGAAGAACAUAUGUGUAAGUAACUGUGCACAUCUUGACGGUACCUAAUCAGAAAGCCACGGCUAACUACGUG